UUUACUAUCUCACAGUUUUGGAGAGGAGAAGUCCAAAAUCAAGGUGAACCAAGUGCCGGGCCCGACACUUUUGAAUUUGGGCCUCACCCUGUGAGUCGGCAGCAGGGAGUUAUUCCUGUUUGACAGGAAAGGGUGCUGAGACUCGGAGUGUUGAAGUCAGUCUCCUAAGCAAGUCGGAAGGUCUUCUGAUUCCACGUGGCUAUUUCUGCUGGAGGCGGGAAGAUUAGCCCUGAGCUAACUACUGCCAAUCCACCUCUUUUUGCUGAG